rnacentral:ncRNA from 1 species
AUGAUAGAGGUGCGGAUUUUAAAAGUAGGGUUCUGUAUAAAGCUCAGGGAAAGGCGCAGGACAGGAAAGGAAAAUCCGCCGAAGAAGCUGAAGCUGCCCGGGCCCAGGCUUCUGGGAUGCCGGAGAAUAUCCGGUAUACUGUCACAGAAAGUGGAGCGCUAUCA